CCUUACCGACCUUUGACAUGUACGGAAUCCUUUAGAGAUAGAGGAGUGCUCGAAAGAGAGCCGUAACACAGGUGCUGCAUGGCUGUCGUCAGCUCGUGUCGUGAGAUGUUGGGUUAAGUCCCGCAACGAGCGCAACCCUUGUCAUUAGUUGCUACAUUCAGUUGGGCACUCUAAUGAGACUGACCGGUGACAAACCGGAGGAAGUGGGGAUGACGUCAAGUCCUCAUGGCCCUUAUAGGUGGGGCUACACACGUCAUACAAUGGAUGGUACAAAGGGUCGCCAACCCGCGAGGGGGAGCCAAUACCCAUAAAGCCAUUCGUAGUCCGGAUCGCAGUCUGCAACUCGACUGCGUGAAGUCGGAAUCGCUAGUAAUCGUGGAUCAGAAUGUCACGGUGAAUACGGUUCCCGGGUCUU
rnacentral:rRNA from 1 species